UACAGAGGUCUCGAGCGUUGUUCGGAUUUAUUGGGCGUAAAGGGUGCGUAGGCGGUAUGGCAAGUCAAGUGUGAAAUCUCGGAGCUCAACUUCGAAACUGCACUUGAUACUACUAUGCUAGAGGGUUGUAGAGGAGACCGGAAUUCACGGUGUAGCAGUGAAAUGCGUAGAUAUCGUGAGGAAGACCAGUUGCGAAAGCGGGUCUCUGGGCAAUUCCUGACGCUGAGGCACGAAAGCGUGGGGAGCAAACAGG
rnacentral:rRNA from 1 species